GGUUGAUAUUCCCGUACCGGUGUUGAUGCGUCCAUGCUGAGGCCAGGUGUGCUAACCAUCUGAUUGCAGGCAUCCUUUAGGGGGUGUGUGUGGGAGGGUGGGGUCCCGUCUGGUAGUAGGCAAGCGAUGGGGUGACGCAGGAGGGUAGUCCAUCCCAGGCGGUGGUUGUCCUGGGGCAAGGGCGUAGGACGGAACGUAGGCAAAUCCGCGUUUCAUGUGUCUGAGACCUGAUGCCGAGCC
rnacentral:rRNA from 1 species